AUGUACCAGGUUCAGCCACCCUAUCAUAAACAUAUCAGUGUCCAGAACCAAAUGGAACCAAAUAAACUUUCCAUUGUAAGUUAUCCAGCCUUCUGCAUUCAGAUGAAUAAUCACAGAAAGGCCACAAUUUUACAAGAUGUUUCAGUGACAUCCAGAGGUGAUUGCUGUGGACAGCUUUCUGUGAAGAUGCCUUUGUCACUAUUAUUGAGAGCCCACACUCUGCAAAGGACAAAGAGGAUAUAA
rnacentral:lncRNA from 1 species